AUUGAACGCUGGCGGCAGGCUUAACACAUGCAAGUCGAGCGAGCGGCGGACGGGUGAGUAAUGUCUGGGAAUCUGCCUGAUGGAGGGGGAUAACCACUGGCAACGGUAUCUUACAGCGUAUAACAUGAGAUGCCCACAGAUGGGAUUAGAUAGUAGGAGGGGUAAUGGCUCACCUAGGCGACGAUCCCUAGCUGGUCUGAGAGGAAGACCAGCCACACUGGAACUGAGACACGGUCCAGACUCCUACGUGAGGCAGCAGUGGGGAAUAUUGCACAAUGGGCGCAAGCCUGAUGCAGCCAUGCCGCGUGUGUGAAGAAGGCCUUCGGGUUGUAAAGCACUUUCAGCGGGGAGGCGUUACUCGCAGAAGAAGCACCGGCUAACUCCGUGCCAGCAGCCGCGGUAAUAC
rnacentral:rRNA from 1 species